CGGCAGUAUAACACACGCGCCACCUUCUGAAACCCGACUUUAAUUAAGUUAAUUAAACACCCUUAGAGAUUUGACCCACCAGGUGUCCACUCACUGUAGGACACGUGUCGAAAAUCUUCUAAACCCUUUUUGACAAAACAUCAUGUCUCUCCAUUUUGGAAAGGAAAAUAAAAAAAAUUUAAAAAGAAGAAAAAAACCACAAUCUCCGUCAAUCUUUGAACCCUUUUUCUCGCUCCUAUCUACCAUUCUCUCUUUAUAUACCGACUGUUUCGCCAUUAGAGUCUAUGCGAAGAAAACCCUUAUCAAACAACAAAAUCUCCAAGAAAUGAAAGACUAGUGAAUUUCUCAAUUACUUAGGGUUUGGAGAGAUCUGUGAGAAUUAAAGGGACAAGAAAGUGGAGUUCUUUAUCCAUCAUCUAGGGUUUUUUUUUUCCAAUUAGUUUGUUAGAAGAGAAAGAGAGAUGGUGAUUGAGAAAAUGCAACAGAGAAAACUGACAGAAGAGAGUGAGCACAUGCAGGCUCUGUUAUGUGUCUAUAACUUUGCGUGUGCGUGCUCACCUCUCUUUCUGUCAGUUGCUUAUCUCUUGUUUUAUCUCUCUUCUCUCUUCUUUCUCUCAAAUUUGUUUAGACCAUUUCCUUCUUAAUUAUCAUCUCUUUUGUUGUGUAAUGAUGUGGAUAAGACAAACGCGUUUCGAUAAUCAUUAGUUAUCGUUUAGAAGUGGGAGCUUUUGCUUACGCAUAUAAGAAUGUUUGUUUCAAGGCUUUCUUUUUACAAGUUUGGAGGAGAAAAGCUCAGAUUUUUAUAGUUGGGUUUAUAAUAAUAAUAAUAAAUGUGAAUUGUUAAGUGUGCUCUAUUGCUGAAUUCUUCUAGUGCGAUCUAGGGAAAGCGCGAGUUUUGAUGAUCAUGAACCCAAACCGGUACACAUUCUUCUCAAAGAUUUUUUUUUUUGGAUGUGAUUUGAUUAACUAUUGAUUGUAUCUUUGUCUUUUUUGGAUGUGAUUUGAUUUUUCUUUUCUUAUUAAGUUUUUUUUUUCAUGUUGAAAUUCCCUGAUGAUCCUAACUGCUACAUGCGAGUACUGAACCAUAAAUUAUGUUAUCGUCUUCUGUCUUUCUUUUUUUUUUCAAAAACUAGAAGUGGCUUUCAGGUUUCACCAGAAGCCAUCAUUAAUGGCGGACUUUGUGUUUGAUGUUUUUGUUUGGUUCUAUUUCAUGUAUACCCUAGUUGCGUACUGUUUCAAUGGAAACAUGAGCUUUUUUUUUCUCUGAGCAAGUUGGUAAUGAAGCACUGAAUCCAGCUGUUUGGUCUUAAAAGGUCUUUGAUCUAUAAUUUCCUUUUUUGUGUUAGGUUUGUACGGAUUAAUGCUAGUUGGCAUUGAAGUCUACCUUGGAAUUAAUGUUAUUUGGUAGUAGGUAGAGAUUCACUAACUUGGUUUCUUUGCAAGUUGAGAUCCAAAAGAAUUUUGAACCCCAUACCUAAUGCUCUCUAUUAUCCGUUUCUCUUGCAAAUUUCUUCAUUUUUGCUUUUGAAUUUGUUAGAAAAUAGAUUUUGUUGCUUUGUUUUGGUAUCUUCUGGUGCCAAAUGAAGUUAAAAAAUAUUGUUUUCUAUGGAAUGGUUUAUCUAAUAUGGUGCCAAAUGAGGUUUAAAAUGUUAUCUUCUACUGAAAUUGUUUAUCUUAUGCUGGCAAAGAUGGUUUAAAACUCUUUUUGUCCACUGUAGUAGUUGAUCUAAUUAAGUUUCAGAAUUGACCAUAUAUCAUCUGAUGUUAUUCUUGUUGGUUUGAUCUUUUUUUUUUGUGUUGGCCAAGCUUUAUGCUUAUGUCUUUUGACUAGUUCUUAUUAAAAUCAGUUACUUUGUAAUUUGAAGCCUAGUGUUGUAGUCUGCUUUGAUUAGUAAAUGCAUUAUAAUCUGUUUAAGCAAAGACAUUAGUUGGUGUUUUGUUUUUCUUUCAGAAUGUUGUCUUUUUAUGUCGUUCCAUAAAUGUGUAACAAGAGUAAUAAGCGUUUGCUGAUGUUGUGUAGUGUCAACCAGAAAAAUCUUUGUGUUGAGUUUGACGAAAUCAAAUUGUGAAUAGGUUUCUUGGAACUAGAGUCUAAUGUACUUCACCCUGAAGUCCACAAAUGAAGUCAUGGUCAUGAAAUAGAUAACAACGGAGAUGAAUAAAAUGCUAAGAAUGUUAUUUAUUUUUUCUACUGAAUUGGUUGAUCUUAAGUUGCCUAAUUGAUGAUAUCUCAUCUGAUGUUAUUCUUUGUUGGUUUGAUCUCUAGCUGUCUAAGCUUAUUCAUAAUGUCUUCGAAUAAGUUUUUGCCAAUAUCAAGUGCUUUGUAAUCGGAUUCCUAAAUUUGCAAUGAUUAUGAGUCAAGUAUCCGAACUUGUGCAUUUUGUGUAUCUGCUGAAUCAAAUUGUAAAUUUGCUUAAUUACCAGAAUUGGUGUCUAAAGGGCUUCACAUUGGAAUCAUUAUUUCAAGUCACAAAAAGAUAACAAGGGGAGACGCAUGGACUUUUGGUGUUAUCACUAAGUUCGUCAUGGCCUAUUCAGAUAUUCGUGCUUGAAGUAAUUUAAUCGAAAGAUUAUAUCAAUAUCAUGUGGGAAGACAUUUCAAGGAUAUAUCUUAUUCAAGGUUAAUUGGAAGUGUAAAAAUCAGGUAAAUCAAUUAAGUAUACAGAAGUAUUGGUCUUUUUAACAUGAGAUUUCUAGUUUGAUGAUCACGGAGAAACAUCUCUUUCAUUAGCUCUGUUUGUUUCCAUUUUGCAUUAUGUGUUGGUCAUAUUGUUCAAUCGAUCAAUUAUUGAAUUUUUAGCUAUAUAAGAGUUCACAUUUCUUAAGCAUGGUAGAUUCAGUGGCUAGACUUGAAUCCAAAUAUUGGCAUAAUCACUAGUUGGUUAAUCUAUUCUAUGAUUACAAUCCUCAUAUGCAUUAGCUCUUAGUCCUAAGGCAUAUAAUAACUAGCAUCUACUUGUUUCAUGUAUUAUUUGGAUUUGCCAUCUGACUGAACUCAUACAGGAUUGAGGAAGAGUGGAGUCUUCUUCUUAUCAUGUAUCCUUCAUUGAUAUCAUUUUUAGCCCUAGGUCCAUAAAGCAAAACUAGUUCAUGCUCUCUUAAUCUAGUCCUUUGAAACAACCUAUUUGAAAGGGGUAAUAAAUCGUUUAUCUUUACAUAUGUUAUUGUGUGAACUAAUUUUUGCAUAUCAAUCAUGUUGGUUAUCAUCUUUUCCUAAGCUUAAAUUUAAGGGUCAGGCAAUGAGAAUAUACUGUGGAUUGGUAGACACAGGUUUGUUUUGAAUCAAUGCUCUAAAUCUAGCUGGUUUUAAUAGUUUGUGUUAUACCACUGUGUUACAUUGUAUGGUCCUUCACCUAGAUUUUUUUUUGCUCUUUUCGAAAAUUCUUUAUAGAAUUACCAAUUAUGGAUUGAUCUUACUAAUAAAUCUUAAAAUUGAGAGAUUAGGUGUCGAAUUGAACAGAUGAUCACCAAACUAAAUAGUAAUUUAAUUUGAGCCUGAUAUGUAGUUAAGUAGUUUGAAUUAGUGUCGUUUUGUGAUCAUCCAAAUUUAAAUUUGAGAAAAUUUAUGUGGUUGAAAAGAAAGCUAGAUGUUGACUCGUUUAAAGAAUGGAGGUGUUGGAUGCCUCUUAUACAUUUCCUACACUAAUAAAAAAAAAGUCACUGAGAAGAGCCUUAUUUAAGAGCCGAGGGGUUUAGUUUUGGAACUCUGGUUACAAUAAUAUACCGUAAAAAAUUAAGAAAAAUGAAUGGGUGUGGUGUAGAGUUAGUAGCCACCCACUCCUUGAGUCAAACUGUGUCCCACACUUUUGUCCUUGUAAGCCUAAUACUUCCAAACUUCGCCGUGAUUUAUUUUCCCAAAUGCUUUUAGCUCAAAUUUGACGGCCGUUUGAACAACAGGUAAACGUUCUAGGCCGUCUAGGUGGUAUGUAAUUGGUUUUUGUCUGUCCAAUUUAGUUUCUAGUACUGGAUUUAAGAUUAUAAACUAGAAUUUGAAAGAAUGUGUAUGUCAUGAUAUUACUACACAAAAUGCAGUUAUUUUUCCCAAGUAAAAAGGUUUAUUUUUACAAAAUGUAAUUGUUGUUGUUUUUACUUAUAAGAUAUAUUAAAUUCUAUUUUUCAGAGAUCAUGUUA